rnacentral:rRNA from 1 species
GGGGAAUAUUGGACAAUGGGGGCAACCCUGAUCCAGCCAUGCCGCGUGAGUGAUGAAGGCCUUAGGGUUGUAAAGCUCUUUUAUCCGGGACGAUAAUGACGGUACCGGAAGAAUAAGCCCCGGCUAACUUCGUGCCAGCAGCCGCGGUAAUACGAAGGGGGCUAGCGUUGCUCGGAAUUACUGGGCGUAAAGGGCGCGUAGGCGGACAUUUAAGUCAGGGGUGAAAUCCCAGAGCUCAACUCUGGAAUUGCCUUUGAUACUGGGUGUCUAGAGACCGGAAGAGGUAAGUGGAACUGCGAGUGUAGAGGUGAAAUUCGUAGAUAUUCGCAAGAACACCAGUGGCGAAGGCGGCUUACUGGUCCGGUUCUGACGCUGAGGCGCGAAAGCGUGGGGAGCAAAC